rfam:Triticum aestivum genome assembly, contig: Triticum_aestivum_CS42_TGACv1_scaffold_129452_2BL
GUAGUACUCCCUUUGAUCCAUAUUACUUGUUUUUAAUUUGUCAAGAUCCGGUCGUAUCUAAUACCGAAACAUGUCUAGAUACAUCUAUAUCUAGACAAAUCUAUGAUAAGUAAUAUGGAUCGGAGGGAGUAUUAU